rnacentral:rRNA from 1 species
AAAUGCCCAGCGCUGAAACCUUCGGCCAUUGGUCGUUAGGUGCUGUAGCGUAUAGGUGUGACUAUCCGUGUGCUUCGCGCACCCAAAGUCCCCUUGAGCGGGGCUACAGUCCAUAGAAGGUGCUAGACCUGUACGGGUGGUGAGGCGCACGGUAGGUUGCUCCUUGGAGUCGGGUUGCCUGAGAUCGCAGCCCAAAGAAGGUGGUAAACCUCAUCUAAGGCUAAAUACGGCCACGAGACCGAUAGCAAACAAGUACCGUGAGGGAAAGUUGCAAAGAACUUUGAAGAGAGAGUUCAAGAGGGCGUGAAACCGCUAAGAUUGAAACGGAUAGAGUUGACGAAACUCGGCGGCAUUCAGCCGGUCCGCGCGGCGGCCUUGCGGCUAUGCGCCUCGAUGAGGGCAGUGACGCGAGUAGCUGUAGCGUGUUGAUAGGUGUAUUUGCCGUCGGUAUGCGCUGAGAGCUUCGCAACCGUACGUUGAUGAGUGCGUAGUGGACCAUUCCUUCCGGGCGUGGAACCCUCCGCGCUUUUAGGCGUAUUGGUGGUGGAGAGUUGAAAGUGUCGUCUCCGCUAUGAUGCGUCGCUUGCGGUAUGGCUUUUGUGGCUAUUGGGCGGUCGCAUGCGACAGCCUAUAGUUUAUGAUCGCUUAUCGUAAUGCUUGAUGCGUCGAGAUGGCAUCUCGGUGUGAACGUUGACCACCUAUCCGACCCGUCUUGAAACACGGACCAAGGAGUCUAGCAUAUGCGCAAGUCAUUUGGUGGUAAACCUAAAGGCGUAAUGAAAGUAAAUGUUGGCUCGAUACAACUGAUAUGGGAUCCGUGCAUCCUAACGGUAGCGCGGCGCACCAUAGCCCCGUCCCCGUCGCUUGCGAUAGGGCGGAGGUAGAGCGUAUACGCUGGUACCCGAAAGAUGGUGAACUAUGCCUGAGCAGGAUGAAGCCAGAGGAAACUCUGGUGGAGGUCCGAAGCGGUUCUGACGUGC